rnacentral:rRNA from 1 species
GAUGAACGCUAGCGAUAGGCUUAACACAUGCAAGUCGAGGGGCAGCACAAGGUAGCUUGCUAUCUGGGUGGCGACCGGCGCACGGGUGCGUAACGCGUAUGCAACUUGCCCUAUACAGGAGGAUAACCCGUCGAAAGACGGACUAAUACUGCGUAUGCUCACAACUUGGCAUCAAGUGGUGAGGAAAGAAAUUCGGUAUAGGAUAGGCAUGCGUCCCAUUAGCUUGUUGGUGAGGUAACGGCUCACCAAGGCAGCGAUGGGUAGGGGAACUGAGAGGUUUUUCCCCCACACGGGUACUGAGACACGGACCAGACUCCUACGGGAGGCAGCAGUGAGGAAUAUUGGUCAAUGGGCGCGAGCCUGAACCAGCCAAGUCGCGUGAAGGAGGACUGUCUUAGGGAUUGUAAACUUCUUUUAGACGGGAAUAACAAGAGUCACGGGUGACUCCCUGCAUGUACCGUAUGAAUAAGCAUCGGCUAACUCCGUG